CAUGGAAAGCGUACUUCCAACCAUUGCUCCAUUUUUACCUGGUUGGUUGCAGCACUGCAUUGUGCUUUACGAGGAGCAUCCCAUAAGGUCUCUGCCUGACACAGGUGUACGCACACAGACAUGAAACUGCAUACAGGGAAGCAAAAUGAAGCGGUGACUAUUGAAGUAGCAGUCUGUCUUGUGCAAGUCGAAAUAAUGAAGACAGAUGAGAAAGCAGUGAUUUUCACAGACAUCCAAGUAGGACUGGAAACUUUGUUAACACAGGCACUCUCCAACACUGCUGCCACCAGAAAUGGUGUGUGUGCACUGCACAGUCUUCCUGCUGCAGCAACUGGCUGGUGGCGAUCUGCGCAGUUGAGCUACAGUGGAGAAAAUGAAGGACGUGGUGAAGAUGCUGAGGGAGGAUGCCAUCCUAUAGCAUGGUGAAGAAGUGGGCCAUGGAAUUCAUGUGAAGAUGAGAUAAUACCCAAAGUGCCCCACAGGACCCAACAUGUGCAUAAUGCAAGGGGCCUGAGGAAAUAUACAGUUUCGCUAGCUAUGCCAGGAUUGCUGCAUGUCCCUCCUGGUCCACAUUCCAGCUGUCUGUGAGCAGCAAGUGAUAAAGGCAGAAACAAGUA